rnacentral:rRNA from 1 species
AUGUCACGCCCACCUCGUCAUGGGAAGAGCAAUGGCGGGGCGGGAAGAGCAGCGGCGGCCGCCCUUCCCCUUCAUAGACAGGUGGUGCUGGCGCUGGAUGCCCCUGGAGCCUCGAUCUCCCACUACUCCACAAGAAACCUGCCACGAAGGAGCAAGGACGACGUCGCGCAAGUAGUGGCGGCGACGGCCGAUUGCAUUCCAUCCUUGAGUAAGUCGGAAAUCGAGGAGCAUGAACAGAAGGUAAACAGAUACCAAGCUGAACUUGCAGCCCGCAUUAAGUCCAAAUACUUCUCUAAUAAGGCUUUUGACGGAGGAAAAAUCUUUGAAGAAGAAACUAUUGUUGAAGGCGAAACCAUCCGUUCAAGUAGGUGGCCAUGUACAAGUUCGUACGCGAACCCGGUAAAUUUUCUCCAAGAGAAGAAGAGCCAUGAGAGGAGGGAUUCUCCAUCUUUGGUAGCUGAAGCUUCACCAAAGAAUAAUGCAGGUGUUUUGGCAACAGAAAACAAUCUAACACCUGGCAAGAGACAAGCAUCCAAGGAGACCUGA